rnacentral:tRNA from 1 species
GCCCGGGUGGCGAAAUUGGUAGACGCAAGAGACUUAAAAUCUCUCGACCUUCGGGUCGUGCCGGUUCGAUUCCGGCCCUGGGCACCA